CUCUCUCCUCUCUUCUCUCUCUCUCUCUUCUUCUUCAUUCCCACUUUUCAAAUUCCAUCCCUUUUUUUCCCGUCGAAUUCCUCCGUUUUAGGGUUCCGUCUACUUACACAAAUCAAACCCAAUCUAGGGUUUUUGCGACAAUGGCGAGAGUGAAGAAAGAGGCAGGUAGCAGAAGCAAUAAUACUAACACACGAGUUAGAGAAUUGAGGAGUAGCAAAAUUGAAGCUAAUUCAACUUCUAAUCAGCAGCAACAUGUUGAUGAAGUUGAACAAGAAAAUGAAGUUGUAGUAAGGAGAAAUCUGCGUUCUAGAUAUCUCGCCGUCAAAAACUUACUUUUUGGCGAUACGCAUGAUUUGUCGUAGCCGGAUUCGCAGAGGUUUAAGUCUAUUAUUGAUGAAGUGGAGAGUUUACAUGCGAAAGGCUUUUGACGAGGCUAUCUCUGAGCUGGAUACAAUGGGUGAGAACUCAUACAAGGACAACCCAUUAAUUAUGCAGCUGCAGCGUGAGCCUGACCUUGUGGAUUUCAGAUAAUGCGAUUUCAGCCUAAAGUGAUUUCACAAACCCGAUUUUCACUUCAAUUCACCGCCUGAGAUUUUCAUAUUUGACUGUGCAACUAUUCAUGGGCUCCAGUUAUUUGCACAUUGAUCAUCAAUUGAAGUUUUCCAUUUUCAGAAAGUUAGCUUAAAGCGGAUGUUCAUUUCUGUAACUCUUGAGAUGUAGCCUUAUGUUUCCCUCAUUUUGUGCUUUUGGCUGAGGAAUACAAUGUAGACCUCUUUCUCGAGGUUAUAUGACUAGCUGUUGUUCAAUCUUUAUUUCUUCAUUACUAUAUUCCUUCCUAUUAACAUUGUUGUACAUCUGUAUUAUUCUAUCCAGCCAAUCUUAUGAAACUUGAUUAAACUUUGUGCUGCAGAUCACCGUGAGAGACAAAAGCAAAGAACAAAACCAAUUAGUCAUAAUAACUUGCCAUGCAUAAAAGUAAAGUCAGAACUCAAAAAUCUUUUUAUUACUUGUAGUUAUGUUAUAGUAGUAGGUAUUAAUCCAAAUCAUCAUCAUAAUGUACUUCUGCUCAAUCACGGUUUAGUUCUUCUAGGCUUGUAGUAUGGUUUGAUUUUUCUAA